GCUGCUGCUGCUGCUGUUGCUGCUGUUGCUGCUGUGCAGCAGCAGCAGCAGCAGAGAUCAGCGAUGCAGGGGGCCCCCCAACUGCAACUGUUGGGGUUUUUCUC
rnacentral:snoRNA from 1 species